GCAGCCCAGCCCCACUGUGGGGACCAGGGGGCUGUGAGCACCAUGGCCUGGACUCCUCUCCUGCUCGUGUUCCUCUCUCUCUGCACAGGGUGCCUCUCCCAGCCUGUGCUGACUCAGCCUCCCUCCCUCUCUGCAUCUCCUGGAGCAUCAGCCAGACUCACCUGCACCCUGAGCAGUGGGUACAUUGUUGGCGGCUACCACAUAUUCUGGUACCAGCAGAAGCCAGGGAGCUCUCCCCGGUACCUCCUGAGGUUCAAGUCAGACUCUGAUAAGUACCAGGGCUCUGGGGUCCCCAGCCGCUUCUCUGGAUCCAAAGACGCCUCGGCCAAUGCAGGGCUCCUGCUCAUCUCUGCGCUGCAGCCCGAGGACGAGGCUGACUAUUACUGUGCUACAGUUCACGGCAACACUGGUACUUACACUGUGCUCCAGACCCACAGGGAAGUGAGACUAAAAGCUCCCCUGUGCCCUCCCCCUGAGACAGUCACUGCUGCUCUGCCUGGACCACGUCUAACUCAGGGUGACCUUCUGUUGUCACUUCUGAAUUUCCUGAGAAUGACAAAUCUGACCCUGUCAUAUGCUUUUCCUCCCCUCAAAUCUGAGACUGACCCAUUGCUCUGAUACCUCAGCCGGCUCAUGUUUUCACAGACAAAACUUCCAUGCUCAGAGAUAAAAAUCUCCAAGUGGGGACUUCCCUGGUGGUGCAGUGGUUGAGAAUCUGCCUGCCAAUGCAGGGGACACGGGUUUGAGUCCUGUUCUUGGUAGA